rnacentral:sRNA from 1 species
AAGGAUCAUUAGUGAACGCCCUCACGGGCUUAUAACUAUUCCAAACCUCUGUGAACCGUGCCCUUCGGGGCUAUUUUACAAACAUGGUGUAAUGAACGUCAUAUAUCAUAACAAAACAAAACUUUCAACAACGGAUCUCUUGGCUCUCGCAUCGAUGAAGAACGCAGCGAAAUGCGAUAAGUAAUGUGAAUUGCAGAAUUCAGUGAAUCAUCGAAUCUUUGAACGCACCUUGCGCCCUCUGGUAUUCCGGAGGGCAUGCCUGUUUGAGUGUCAUGUAGACUCAAUCCCUCGGGUUUCCGAGGAGAUUGGACUUGGGUGUUGCCGCUCUGCCGGCUCGCCUUAAAAGACUUAGCGGGAUAGCACCGUAGUCGGCGUAAUAAGUUUCGUCGGUGAAGGUUGUGAUGACUGCUUACAAUCGCCCUCGGGCAAUUUUUGACUCUGACCUCAAAUCAGGUAGGACUACCCGCUGAACUUAAGCAUAUCAAUAAGCGGAGGAAAAGAAACUAACAAGGAUUCCCCUAGUAGCGGCGAGCGAAGCGGGAAGAGCUCAAAUUUGAAAGCUGGCGUCCUUCGGGCGUCCGCAUUGUAAUAUAUAGAGGCGUUUUCUGUGCUGGACCGUGUCCAAGUCCCUUGGAACAGGGUAUCAAAGAGGGUGACAAUCCCGUACUUGACACGACAACCAGUGCUCUGUGAUACGUCUUCUACGAGUCGAGUUGUUUGGGAAUGCAGCUCAAAAUGGGUGGUGAAUUCCAUCUAAAGCUAAAUAUUGGCGAGAGACCGAUAGCGAACAAGUACCGUGAGGGAAAGAUGAAAAGCACUUUGGAAAGAGAGUUAAACAGUAUGUGAAAUUGUUGAAAGGGAAACGAUGGAGGUCAGUCGUGUCUGUGGGAUUCAGCCGUCUCUGGCGGUGUACUUCCCACAGACGGGUCAACAUCAGUUUUGGUCGGCGGAUAAAGGCAGGAGGAAGGUGGCACCCCCGGGUGUGUUAUAGCCUCUUGUUGCAUACGCUGGCCGAGACUGAGGAAUGCAGCUCGCCUUUAUGGCCGGGGUUCGCCCACGUUCGAGCUUAGGA